AGAGUUUGAUCCUGGCUCAGAACGAACGCUGGCGGCGUGCUUAACACAUGCAAGUCGAGUGCGCGUUCCGUAGCAAUACGGGAUGGCGCACGGCGCACGGGUGCGUAACACGUGGGCAAUCUGCCCUUCGAUGGGGAAUAACUCCGGGAAACCGGAGCUAAUUCCGCAUAACAUUCCUUGAAACCUCGGUUUGGGGACUCAAAGCCGUAAGGCGUCGGAGGAGGAACCCGCGCACGAUUAGCUAGUUGGUAGGGUAACGGCCUACCAAGGCUUUGAUCGUUAGCUGGUCUGAGAGGAUGGCCAGCCACACUGGAACUGAGACACGGUCCAGACUCCUACGGGAGGCAGCAGUGGGGAAUCUUGCACAAUGGGCGAAAGCCUGAUGCAGCGACGCCGCGUGGGGGAUGAAGCUUUUCGGAGUGUAAACCCCUUUCGACCC
rnacentral:rRNA from 1 species